GCAAGGAAUAGGACAAGCUGGUGAACGGUGCGAACUGCAAAACUCUCAUCUUUCUCCAUUGAAGGAAUCAUAGGUUCUGCGAGGAAGAAAAUGGCUGAUCGAUUUUUUCCCAAUGUAAUGCCUGACUUUGUGAAGGAAGAAGAAGCAGCAACCUCAACCCAACAACCACGAGAAGAAGGGACUACUGAUGGAGAUUCUCUUAUGAAUCUUCUCUCUAUGCCUUACCCUACUCUCUCCCAGCGAUUUCAACGCGCUGCCUUGGAUCUUAAAGAAACUAUAGUGGUGGAGACGUGGGGGUUGAGUGGACAGAGCGUGCAAGACUUCACUCUCUAUAGCGGUAGUCUUGGCACCGCCUUCGUUCUCUUUAAAAGCUAUAAAGUUACCAACAAUAAAAAUGAUCUCUUCCUGUGCUUACAAAUUGUUAAGGCCUGCGACUCUGCUUCUCUUGCUUCUAGGUGCCCCCCUUUCUCCAUCCUGUAAAAUAAAUCACUUUAUAUGUUUGUGUUCUGGCCAGGUGAUUCAUUUUACACUUGAAGCUGCUAUUAAGCUUAAUUAAGUGAUGUUUGAUUUUGGUGAUAUAUUUCACAAAAUAGGGAUGUCACUUUCAUAUGCGGACGAGCCGGUGUUUCUGCUCUUGGGGCUGUUGCAGCAAAGCAUGCUAAUGAUGAAGCAUUGCAAAAUUACUAUCUCAAUCAAUUUGGAGAGGUUCUUUAACCCUUCUUGAUUGCUUGAAUUUGCAGCCAUUAUUUUGUCAACAUUUUUUCCCCGUUCUUUGCGUUAGAAUUUAUGAUUGAUAGAUGAAACAGGUUAAGCUGUCAAAAAAUCACCCUGACGAGUUAUUAUAUGGAAGAAGCGGCUACUUGUGGGCUUGUGUGUUCUUAAACAAACAUAUUGGCGAGGGCACUAUUCCUCAAAACUAUAGUGAGAUUCCUAUUAUAACUGCUUUUGCUAAUUUAUUUUCUAUUUUGUUAAACAGUAAAGCAAUAUUUGGAUAACUCAAUGUAGCGUGCAGUUGCAAAUGAAAUUAUUAAGAAUGGACGGUCAUUGGCCAAGAAAGGAGGGCCCCCAUUAAUGUAUGAAUGGUAUGGCGAGAGAUAUUGGGGUGCUGCUCAUGGAUUAGCAGGCAUUAUGCAUGUUUUGAUGGAUUUAGAACUGAAACCGGAUGAGGUUGAGGAUGUCAAGGGUACUCUUAUAUACAUGAUCAAGAAUCGCUUUCCCAGUGGAAACUACCCUGCCAGCGAAGAAGAUCUCAAGAGGGAUGUUCUUGUGCAUUGGUGCCAUGGAGCCCCCGGAAUUGCCCUCACACUUGUCAAGGCAGCCAAGGUUUUUGGUGAUAAAGAAUUUCUGCAAGCAGCUGUAGAUGCAGCAGAGGUAGUGUGGAACCGUGGGCUGCUCAAGCGAAUUGGCAUUUGCCAUGGCAUCAGUGGUAACGCAUUUGUGUUCCUCUCAUUGUACCAAAUGACUGGAAACAUAGAGUACUUAUACAGGGCCAAAGCAUUUGCCAGCUUUCUACUUGACAGAGGUCACAAACUUAUAUCUGCUGGAGAGAUGCAUGGAGGCGAUAGCCCAUACUCACUUUUUGAAGGGAAUGGUGGUAUGGCAUAUCUUUUCCUAGAUAUGAUUGAUCCCUCCGGAGCUAGAUUCCCUGCGUAUGAACUCUGAAAUUCUGAAUUUUUGACAUGGUUUAGUGGGGUUUAAUGCUAAUAUUUCUAUUGGUGUAGUACAAUCUUUUGAGUACCAUAUCAGAAUGUAAUAUUCAUGUGAAAUAUACUUCAUAAGUUGGUUUAAGUUUGGCCAAGGUAUUGUGCUCUGUCUAGGACGAGUUUUAAAGGACAUUAUCUUCAUCAGAAAGGUAAUGUCUUGCUACCACAUUGUAGAAGCUAACUUUAAUUGCAGAUAAAAUUAAUUUACAUUACAAGUUUUUAUCACAUUAUUACUCGGUAUUGUUCAAUUGUUAGUGAAUAAUUUCCGCAGAGAUGGAAAAAGAUUGUAUGAAUCAUUCUUUCCUAUCAUAAAAGGAG
rnacentral:misc_RNA from 1 species